UGGGCGCGCAAUGGAAACCGGCUCCUGGUUGCUUGGCGGCGAGUUCGAGGACUCGGUGUUCGAGGAGAGGCGGGAGAGGCGGCCUGGACCGCUCGCGUCCUACCGCGCCAAGCUCUGCGAGCCGCAGUGGUUUUUUGAAGAAACGGGGAGCAGUGAUGAUGUUGAAGUGAUGACUAUCCAGAAAUUCAAAGGGGAUCUGGCCUACAGACGGCAAGAGUAUCAGAAAGCACUGCAAGAGUAUUCCAGUAUCUCAGAAAAACUGCCGUCUACGAAUUUUGCCAUGAAAAGGGAUGUCCAGGAAGGCCAGGCUCGGUGUCUUGUUCACCUGGGAAGGCACGAGGAAGCCCUGGAGAUUGCUACAAACUUGGAAAAUAAGGCAACUAACACAGACCAUUUAACCACUGUGCUCUACCUCCAGUUUGCUAUUUGUUCAAGUUUGCAGAACUUGGAGAAAACAAUUUUCUGCCUACAGAAACUGAUUUCUUUGCAUCCCUUUAAUCCUUGGAACUGGAACAGAUUGGGAGAGGCUUACCUGAAUCUGGAGCCAGCGCUUGCACCGUUGCUUGCGUCAUCUCAGAAACAGAACAGUUUCACCUCGAGUGACAAGGCUAUCAAAUCCUCCUGUCCCCACUCAGGAAAAGACUCUCUUUUGUGUUUCCCCGAAAUGUUGCCCGAGAGCUCUGCGUUAUCUGUGGAAACGAGCAGUGGUAAUAACCAGAAGAAUGAGAAAGCUUUUAAAAAUAUUCAAAACUGUAUGGCAGAAGAGAGAGCAGCAGUGUUGCUAGAAACUCAGAUGAAAGCCUGUGCCUCUUUUAUACGAACCAGGCUUUUGCUUCAGCUUGCCCAAUCUCAGCAAACAUCGUUUGCUUUGGAGAGGAACUUAAAGACUCAGCAGGAAAUUGAAGCUAAAAUGAAAGGGUUCAGCUUCAAAGAAGACACUUUGCUGUUGAUAGCAGAGCUACCUGAUUUCGCACCCCACCCCCGCCUCGAUCUUCUUCAUCCUCCAAGCCUCAAUCCAACCUCCUGGACCUGCCAGCAGAAGUGGGAGUUCCCUCCUGGCUGACCCCAGAGCACUUUCUUAGCUCAUGCUGAUCUUAGAGCACACACCCUACCACACCCUGUGGUCAUUCAUCUACAUUUCUUGACGAGAGAGAGGAGUUCUGUGUCCCCAGCAUGUGGCACAGCACCUGUGCUGGCUCUAAGGGUCCCAGGGAGAAGGAUCCUCUGAAAGGCUGGCAAACAGAUCACCUUUGAAUAUUGAGAGCAAAAGCAUUAUAGUUGUCCUGCCCUCCCUCCAGAAGCUGGAUUCUCCACAGUUCGCAGGAAUGGCCCGGUAUGUCUUCAAGCCCACUGCCACCCUCCUCCUGGUACCUCCCAUAUCAAGCCCAGCCUGGCCUCAGCAGGCGCUAGAGAGCUGGAGAUCCUAGUCAAGGAAGCUGGUGACCCUGACCCAAUCACCUACCCUCUCUGUGCCUCAGUUCCCAUCUGUCAGAAGAAUAAUGCCUCCCUCAGAAUGUC